CCUACGGGGGGCAGCAGUGGGGAAUAUUGCGCAAUGGGCGAAAGCCUGACGCAGCGACGCCGCGUGAGGGAUGAAGGUCUUCGGAUCGUAAACCUCUGUCAGCAGGGAAGAACGGUCACUGUGCUAAUCAGCAGUGAAUUGACGGUACCUGACUAAGAAGCCCCGGCUAACUACGUGCCAGCAGCCGCGGUAAUACGUAGGGGGCAAGCGUUAUCCGGAUUUACUGGGUGUAAAGGGAGCGUAGACGGCAGUGCAAGUCUGAAGUGAAAGGCAAGGGCUCAACCCUUGGACUGCAUUGGCAACUG
rnacentral:rRNA from 1 species